rnacentral:rRNA from 1 species
CAGCAGCCGCGGGAAUACGAAGGGGGCUAGCGUUGUUCGGAUUUACUGGGCGUAAAGGGCGCGUAGGCGGACUGAUAAGUCAGGGGUGAAAUCCCAAGGCUCAACCGGGGAGGGUCAUUGGAAACUGGGAAACUUGAGUGCAGAAGAGGAGAGUGGAAUUCCACGUGUAGCGGUGAAAUGCGUAGAGAUGUGGAGGAACACCAGUGGCGAAGGCGACUCUCUGGUCUGUAACUGACGCUGAGGAGCGAAAGCGUGGGGAGCGAACAGGAUUAGAUACCCCCGUAGUCCCUGUCUCUUAUAC